CAGCGCUCCUCCCACGGCAGUAAAUCAACAAACCGAUCAGGCACACACAGGCACACAGAGAAGGAGAAGAAGAAGAGGAAGAAGAAGAUGGGUCAGAGCCCCCUUAUCCCACUGCCGGUGGUGGAGCAGGUUCACGCAAUGGUGCCAACCGGUGGCGUCAACAGGAUGGAACAAUUUGGCAACUAUACAGAAGAUACAAAACAAAUACUACAAAAACUCAACCACAGACGAUCUUGUUCUGAGGGCAACACUAGACUCGAUGACUAGAAUCGGAUAAAAUUGCAAUCUGGUGACACAAGGAACAUGACAGAGGAUCCAUUGACUUGGGUGCAUCUGGCUGGAGAUAUCUGCAUGGGGUUUCUUCAACCGAAUGAUGAUCCAAUGAUAGGAUAUGCGAUUGAGUCAUUUUAUCUGGUUAGUAGUUGGUUGUGUUUCAAAAUGUGUGCUCUUGUUGUUUAUACCUUAUGACGUUGUGGAUGUUUGCCACUUUUUCAUUAAUAAAUAUAAAUAUGGUUCUGUUAGUGGUUUGAUGCAAAGGUCGUGGGAAAACCAUCCUCUUCUUGAAAAUAUAUAUAUGCAUAACUGUGUAUACUUUGAUCAUAAACAUAUCAACUGUUAGGUGUGUAGUUGUCUCAUUUUGCGACGUGACAUAAACUAUCUCUUUCCUUAGCGGACCUUUACUAUGGGAAUAGCA